UUCAACAGCCAUUAAGUCCUUUUUGGCUAGGCAAUUCCGCACAGUUUGCAGCAUUGCUAGGCAUCUACACUCAGUUUGUGGGCCAAUUACUUUCAGCUCAGAUAUUACUACAAAACCUGCAAUCUCAAACUUCCUAUAGUUUCUGGCUCAAUGCAAAACAAUUUGGUGGUGCUUAGCGGUUACCUAUAAUUAGACCAUGAACUUGGUGCUCUCCAUCAGGAAUUAAGUGCAUACAUAUGAUUGAGGAAUGAAACUUUUCCUGCAUGUAGGAAAGAUACAUUUUUAAUUUCAAAUAAUCUGUCAUAAUCAAAGUGGUUAUGGAAAUAACCUGAAAUGCAUUUAAACUGCAACAAAACUGCAUUUUCUAAAAGAAAAAAAAAUCCUAUUAAAAAAGAAAAUAUAGAUUAAAUGUGAAAAUAAUAUGCAUAUUCCAACAGGCAUAGCUCCUACAUAACAUUAAGUAGCUCCUACAUGAAUAACAUUGCUUGUGGGGUCAGUUAACAGAGUAAAUGAAGUCAGAUGAUAGCUCAAAAUAAGACCUGGGCCUUAUGUCAUCUUCUAAAAGUCAUUAGGUGUAAUUUAACAAUCAGUAGUAAAAACAGUCUCCAUUUAAAACUUCUCUAGAAGAAAUAAAACAGUAAAAAACAAACAAACAAACAAACAAAAAAAAACAGAUGCAACUUUUAUAGGUCUGCUAUUUGCUGUAGAACUUCUGAUUAGAGCUGAGUAAAUCCAUAGGGUGAAGGAGCCUCCUUUUCUAAAUAGCAUCAACUAUAUUUUACAUGCCUAUGGAGAACCUGGUCAACCUUAAAUAAAGCAACAGGCAUGUGUCACUUAAGGAGAGAGAGCAGCAGCUGCACACAUACAGCUGUUCCUCAGUGCCAAACAGGUGUUUCCACUUUCAUUUGCUGCUUGACAUUUGCUUCUCUGCUUUCACUCUCUUCCUCACUUUCAGAUCACUACCCCUGCAGUACAAGUUUGAUAGGCCACAGGGGAACUAUCUGACAAAGAAAAAGAUUGAGUUUUUGGCAAGACUUCAUACUAAUCUUAUUAUUCAGGGUCAAAUAGAAAGAAGGCAGCUGAUGUGGGGCCUUGUCAUUGUGCUUGUUCUUAAUCUAAUGUGUAAGUAUAUAACGUUCAAGCCUUGUAUGGCCAUCUUCUCCUCAGAUAGUCUCAAAAGCUCACUGAAGCAUUCCUUGCUUUUUCUGGGACCUUGUGUCCUGCCUUUAAUUAGUCAAUGCUUUUCCAAAUGUUACUCUCUUAUUUUCACAGUGUUUGUACAAGCCUGAGCAACAUUGUACAUGGGUUUUUAGCUAGGUUUCAAAAUUAACGAGUACAAUUUUUUAUACUCAAAAAUGUCAAUAACAAAUAAUUACUUUAUGCUAUGUUCUAAGGUCAACAGUCCAAACAUCAACGUGUGACUAUUGCUGAUUAUUUUCUAUGUUUCAGGGACUCAGAAACAACGAGGACUAUUGCUAAGCAGUUCCAACUCCUCCCCUCUCUUAGAAUUCCUUUGAUGCAAGGAGGAAUCUGCAUUUUUUUAGCUAAGACAUUUGUAAAAUAUUACCACAUUUUCUACAUAGCAAGUGACAUACCCCAGCCUGAAUAACCUUACUGGGCAAACUGUUAGAGACAUUAAAAACAACAACAAAAAACAGUACUAUGCCCAGCAUCACUGCCAGAGAAAAAGCAUGAGUUGAGAGACAUUGCAGCUGGAAGAUAUUCCCAAUUCUGAAGUGAAGCGACAACAACUGCACAAAAAUAUGCUAGUUCAUGGUGUGUUCCCACGUUCUCUCUCAUUUUCAUAAGCUUUUGUGUUUUAAAUGGAAUAGAAAUUAAUUUGAUAAGUUUUGGACUUUCC
rnacentral:lncRNA from 1 species